GCAUGGGAUAUAUCCAUGUCAAAGCCAGUAGAUAGAAAACGUAGAAAGACGAAGGAAUAACGCGACGGAAUUAAUUUUCGGUUUUGUGAUAUCGUGUAAUAAUAAAGUAUCGUUUAAAGAUAAGUUUGUUAAGUUUAAGGAUUUACUUAGAUCUUCGAGGCCUUUGAAAAAUAAUCCUUCCUUUAAUAAUUGAUCUGAUUGCUUUCGAAGAAAGUACUUUUAACCCGAACAGAAUACCGUGAUUAAUAAUAAUAAAAUUAAUCUGGUUUUGAUGGUUAAUUAUCUUACUUUUUCAUCUUUUUUUCUCUUUUUAUAUAUUUGUUUCUUUGAUUUUUUUUUUUUAUUCACCAAUUUAAAGACUACGGAUUAUCCUUACCGAUAGGAGAGAGAAGAAACGAUUAAUCUUGCUCUCUCUCUCUCUCUCUCUCUUUCUUUUUAUCGAAAGAUUAUCAUUAUUUACGGUUUUCUUAGAAGAAAGAAAGAAAAAAAAAAGAAAAAGAAAAAAAACAGAGAGAAAGAAAUACUAACGCAAUAACAAAAUACUUAAGAUAAUUCUUAAUAAUAAUAAAUUAAAACGGAUAUAAAACCAGAAAGAAAAAGAUGAAUUACCAGAAGUGGAUUCUAACGUUGAAAUGUUUUUUAUUGAUUUACAUUGUAUACGUCGUAAGAGCAGACGAUCAAUUAAAAGAGAAGAAAAAUAUAAUUAAUACGCACGAUAAUAAAAAUCGAGAUAUAGUGAUAGAUUCGAGAAAUGAACUAAUAAUACGGGCACCUGUAAGAAGAAAAAUCAUUUGUGAAUAUGACAGAAGACUGGACGCUUUUGGAAGAUGUAGAAAGAAGUUGUAAAUGAAUAUUAUGAUCGAACAAUCAUUACAAGUGAAUCUUCUAGUAAGAUUUGGAAUAUAAGGGGAUGGCGAUUGUGAAAGGGUAGAGAAAGGAAGAUAAUAAUAACAAUUAAAAAAAAAAAAUAAAAAGAGGACAGAAAAGAAUUGAACAAAAUGACGACGACGACGACGACGACGACGACGACGACGACGACGGAAAGAAAGAAGGAAUGAGAGAGAAAAAAAAAAAGUAAAAAUAAAAAGAAAUACACGUCGGAUCGACUUGAAUCGAAUUGAUAGUCGACGAACUGUUUGCUUAUAGACGGAAGAAACUCAUCGCUCUCUCUCUCUCUCUCUCUCUCUGUUCGUUUCUGCCCAUCGCAUUUCUCUCGUUUAUAUCGUCAAUACCAAAAGUCUGACUAUAUAGAAUGAAGAUAUUCUUGAUUCCGGACAACACGGCGGCGAGAAGAAAGCCAAUCAAGCAAGCCUCGAAAUGCUUCCUUAUCGAUCGAGCUCUUCCUCUCUCUCUCUCUUUAUCUUUCGCUCUAUGAUCACCAUGAUAACAGUAUCAAGGAAUGAAGAUGAUGUUCAAAUUUUAAAAUGGAAAAUCGUCGGAGAGAAAUCAUAAAGAAGAAGAAGCAAUUGAA